rnacentral:rRNA from 1 species
UACGGAGGAUGCGAGCGUUAUCCGGAUUUAUUGGGUUUAAAGGGUGCGUAGGCGGACUGUCAAGUCAGCGGUAAAAUUGAGAGGCUCAACCUCUUCCCGCCGUUGAAACUGGUGGUCUUGAGUGGAUGAGAAGUACGCGGAAUGCGUGGUGUAGCGGUGAAAUGCAUAGAUAUCACGCAGAACUCCGAUUGCGAAGGCAGCGUACCGGCAUCCAACUGACGCUGAGGCACGAAAGCGUGGGGAUCAAACAG